rnacentral:rRNA from 1 species
UGGGUCUAAUACUGGAUACUACCUCGCACCGCAUGGUGGGUGGUGGAAAGGGUUUUACUGGUUUUGGAUGGGCUCACGGCCUAUCAGCUUGUUGGUGGGGUAAUGGCUCACCAAGGCGACGACGGGUAGCCGGCCUGAGAGGGUGACCGGCCACACUGGGACUGAGACACGGCCCAGACUCCUACGGGAGGCAGCAGUGGGGAAUAUUGCACAAUGGGCGGAAGCCUGAUGCAGCGACGCCGCGUGAGGGAUGACGGCCUUCGGGUUGUAAACCUCUUUCAGUAGGGAAGAAGCGAGAGUGACGGUACCUGCAGAAGAAGCGCCGGCUAACUACGUGCCAGCAGCCGCGGUAAUACGUAGGGCGCAAGCGUUGUCCGGAAUUAUUGGGCGUAAAGAGCUCGUAGGCGGUUUGUCGCGUCUKCUGUGAAAGCCCGGGGCUCAACCC